UUUUAUAGUUUUGCUUUCGUUAGCAAACUUAACGCACCGAGACUAUAAAAACAGUACGAUCAUUAUUAAUUGAAAGUUAAGUUUUAAUACCUUCUUUAUCGUAUACGUGCAGUAGGGUAGGCUAGGACGCGCGCCGCGAUUAUCUUUUCUUUUAUCGCGCUAUUUUUUCGAUUUAACGCGAUAAGCCCAGAGACGUUUGUCGUCAAAAAUCAUCGAUAAGAUUUUAUCACGGUGCGCAUCCUAGCCCGGAUGAACGAUUUAACUGUAGGUACCAUCGACAACAGUGUUAACUAUCCAUUGCCUGUCAUGUCGUCUCGUUCUAUCGCAAAGAAUCGCCAUUUGAUGAGAGCGAGAGCAAAAACGGAAAUGGAUAGUUAACAGUGUGGCCGUGUGUACAGAACUGAACAUUAUCUGAAGUAUAAAUAAGUUACAAAAACAACAUAAGCCUAGUAUGACUGUAUGACUAGCUAGAGUAUGUAGGUACCUAUGUUAAAAAUAGUUUACGAAACGUUAUGAGGUCGUAAACAAAAAAACGUUAUUCAUUCGAGGAAGCUUCAGUUAAUAGUGAAAUGAUUGGGCUUUUGAUUCGAAUCGUAAGCAUACCGGCAAGUAAUCGAUUCGAGAAGCCAAAUCCAACAAAAGUUAGUAUUGCUAAAUGGACGGAACCUGAGGACGGAACGGACCUAACCCAUGAAGCUAAAGAUAAAAAUGGAGGGCAGAGUUGGAACAAAAACUUGAGUCAAAUACCUACUUAUAUCUAUCUCGCUCUCUGCGGCCCUACCUCUCUUUUUAGUGUGAACUGUAGUAUUGCUAUCUUCUGAUUUAAAUCUCCUUGUAAAUUCUUCGAAAUAGCCAAUUCACUAACCAAAUCAGAAGUUAAACAAAUAAAUAAUUAAUAUUUGAAACUAAGAUUACCUAGUUAAAUAAAAAAUCACAAAAUUGUCGGCCAUUUGGGCUUAAUGUGUUGGCGAAUCAGGGAAUUACAAUCCCAAUUCCUGGGUAAUCGGUACCAUGUGGCAACAUCGGCCCAAUCCGGCCCAUCAUGGCGGUUGUUUACUAUUUUGUUUAUUAAGCAGUUAAUUUCGUUUGAGAUUGUUUACAGGAAAUAAUCAUUGUUUUAUCACAAGAAUUGGUGCAAAAUUUUGUAGUGCGUGGUUGCGGUAGUACGUGGUGUCCUGGAAGUGACAUAAGAUUCCACGCGUAAGUGUUUAUUUCGUGAUUUCCGACAUUGGAUCAUUGUAAACAUUUUUCACAUUUUUUACAGUAAUUUCUUCUUAAAACGUUUUACCAGUAAUUACACUUAUCAUUUUUAAUGAUACCUAUGUCAAGAAAUAAAGAUUUUACAUUGGUUUCAUUGAAUUUGAGCAAUUUUAUAUUUUUUGUUUAUUUAGAAAGAGCGAGUCUGCCCACAGAGAGCGAGAUAGUGAUACUUAGUUUGUGCUUCAAGUAGGUAUUCGGAGUGUGGCCUCCAUUUUUAUCUGUAGCUUCAUGACCUAACCUAUCUUAGCUCAUUAUGAUGUGGUUAAAAGGUUCGAAUAUCGGAAUUUUGCUCAGUGAACGCGUGUGUAAAGAAGUACCUACCAAAUAAACUUAUUGUUUUUUUUUCAUUAAUAUAAAAGCUAAACCGAAUUAGUAACAAACAAUUAUGAUGUGUCAAUAUUAAUUAAAUACAUUAUUAAGUAAGUAAAAUUUAAUUGUUGUAACCAUUUUUAUAAAUUAUGUCAUUGAAAUGCAGAAAAAUUAAUAACAUCUGUUGAUUUUUUUUUUAUACCCACUGACUUUUAAAAUCGAGUAAAUAGUCGGUAUCGAUCACCAUCGAUUACAAACAUCACCAUUAUGUGCUCUGAGGGCAUCACUAGCUGCAUUUAUAACCGCACAGCAUGAGCACAGUUGAUUGUCUAUGGUAGGGGAAUAAUUCCUAGAAACCUGAAGGAUAGUAAUGAAUCUUUGUAAUAUGUGCUUUGUUGAGAUUGGGUUUCAAUCCUUCGUUAAACGAGCGCUAAAUAAUCGUCUGCGCACAGAGCACGUAACAAUACGUGUGCGUUUAUUCUGAAGAUAUUCGAUUUCCCUUCUUGAUGGGUGUCUGUGCGGCAAUCGCAAUGGCGAUCGUGCAGGUAGUGGGUGGCGUGGUGUUGUACACUGGCAAGGGGCUGUGGCUGCUGAUGGUUCUCGGGUUCCGUGCCACGGGCGUGCUGGCCGGCAGCCUGGCGGCCGGCGCAGGGCUUCUUUGGGAACGUGCAGUCGGGCAGCGUCAUCGCGCAAUCAAUGUCCGCGGCAAUGAGGGGCGGUUAGAGGUACCUUUUACAGUGAAAAUAUCAUUUUAAUGCCUAAUGUAUUCUGCAAAGUGAAUUAUUGAAUUACAAUACAAUCACACAUA